rnacentral:lncRNA from 1 species
GCCUGCCAGGGGUCCAGGCCUGUCGACCGAAGUUCGGUUGAGAUGCCGGGCGGAGAGAGGUAGCUGUCCAUCUGAAAGGAGUUCGGAUGCUACAAAUCCUGUUGGGUGUCUUGGGUGCUAAGGCGGCAGGCGAGGAUUACUCAUCGUAGGAGUUCGGUCAGAGGCUUUCUGCAAACACAGUCUGGUUUCUCGCAGACUUCAGCAGAGGGCCGACCAGCGGUGGAUGUCGGAUGAUGCUGGGGAGGUUCGUCCACAAUGAAAGCUCAGACGAAGGCCUUCGGUGGGAAUCCGGCAUGGACCGUUCAUGGU